rnacentral:lncRNA from 1 species
AACCAGAGGCGGAAGGCAGCCUUAGUUGUUAUUUUCUUUGCAUUUCCAUUUUGUAUUUCUUUCCCUUAAAACAUUGAGGACAAUGUUUAGUUCAAGUAUGGGGGGGAAACAUUAUUCUUUCCAUUCUCAUCUUUGUUUCAAGUAUGUACUCUCCCUUUUCAUUGUUAUUUCCCUAUAAAAAAAAAAACAAAAUAUUUUUUUAAGUUAAGUCCUGAAUGUGAAAAAUUUUCUAUUAUCUAUUUCCCUCAACUUUCUUGAGCCAUAAAAAAAAUUUUAACACACCCAAUAAGUAUAAAGGUUGCUUACUUUAUAAAAUUUGAGUGAAAUCAAAA